UACGUAGGGGGCAAGCGUUGUCCGGAUUUAUUGGGCGUAAAGAGCGUGUAGGCGGCCAGGUAGGUCCGUUGUGAAAACUCGAGGCUCAACCUCGAGACGCCGAUGGAAACCAUCUGGCUAGAGUCCGGAAGAGGAGAGUGGAAUUCCCGGUGUAGCGGUGAAAUGCGCAGAUAUCGGGAAGAACACCCGUGGCUAAGGCGGCUCUCUAGUACGGUACUGACGCUGAGACGCGAAAGCGUGGGAGCGAACAGG
rnacentral:rRNA from 1 species